rnacentral:rRNA from 1 species
AGUGAACGCUGGCGGUAGGCCUAACACAUGCAAGUCGAACGGCAGCACAGUAAGAGCUUGCUCUUACGGGUGGCGAGUGGCGGACGGGUGAGGAAUACAUCGGAAUCUACUUUUUCGUGGGGGAUAACGUAGGGAAACUUACGCUAAUACCGCAUACGACCUACGGGUGAAAGCAGGGGAUCUUCGGACCUUGCGCGAUUGAAUGAGCCGAUGUCGGAUUAGCUAGUUGGCGGGGUAAAGGCCCACCAAGGCGACGAUCCGUAGCUGGUCUGAGAGGAUGAUCGCCCACAUGGGAGGUGGGACACGGUCCAUGCUCCUAAGGGAGGCAGCAGUGGGGAAUAUUGGGCAAUGGGCGCAAGCCUGAUCCAGCCAGACCGCGUGGGUGAAGAAGGCCUUCGGGUUGUAAAGCCCUUUUGUUGGGAAAGAAAAGCAGCAGGUUAAUACCCCGCGGUUCUGACGGUACCCAAAGAAUAAGCACCGGCUAACUUCGUG